rnacentral:lncRNA from 1 species
CUUGUAGUUGUUGACUUUGUUCGCUUGGUGCGACUGGAUCCCACUCGUUGGUAUAUGCCUAAGAAAUUGGCCACGUAUUAUCCAUUGGGUCCCACCACAUGCAAUCGCAACCAACCACAGCUAGUCGUGUGGCAUCACCACUAACUAGCUAAUUGGAAAGCAGCAACUCGUUCAUCUUCCUGAUGAACUAUAUGAUGAACUAUAUGAAACUUAUAGGAAGGCAUCACCACUAACU